rnacentral:rRNA from 1 species
CAGUUCGGAUUGUAGGCUGAAACUCGCCUACAUGAAGCUGGAGUUACUAGUAAUCGCAGAUCAGAAUGCUGCGGUGAAUGCGUUCCCGGGUCUUGUACACACCGCCCGUCACACCACGGAAGUUGGGGGCGCCCGAAGCCACUUAGCUAACCCUUUUGGGAAGCGAGUGUCGAAGGUGAAAUCAAUAACUGGGGUGAAGUCGUAACAAGGUACC